GUGAGUGGCAAACUUAGGACAUCAGAGGAAGCCUGCUGACCAGGCUGGCCAGCGGACCACAGGGCGCGGAGGAUGGUCACUGGGCAGCAGAUUUCUUCAUUCCCCGGCGACUGCUCCAGGUUCCCAUGAUUCUUCUGGAUUCCCUCCUCCUGGCUCAGCAGAGGAUCUGUCCUCCUAAAUCAUGAAGACACCUGCCGGACCUUUCCAUGAAGAUGUUCGUUCAUCAGCCAACUCAAGUUAAAGACAUCUGAAGGUGAACUCACUGUCUCCUUCCAAAACCCACCUCUCCCUAUUCACUUUGCCUUUGAAGAAGCAGGUCAAUGAGAAAAUGUCCACACUGAAGUCCAUUCUCUGUUCUAAGGUAUAUCAACAGUUCAGUAAUUCUAAAAGACUUGAAUAUACAGAAAUGAAUAAAGAUCAUUGUGAAAUGAUUUUAUAGGAACGUGUUCUAUAAAUAUUGCUUAAGAGAGCGUACAACAGAUUGUCACCA